rnacentral:lncRNA from 1 species
UUGUAUAAAAAUCUUUAAAAACAAAAACGAAUUAUAGUUGGAUUUUCCUUUAAAAAAAAUUUAAAGUAAUUUAUUUCUUAUAAAUAACUAACUUUUCUUUUUAAUAGAUAAUUUUGUGUUAAAAAUUAUAAACCAAAAAUAACUUCAAAUAUUUCACCCGAUAUCACCCGAUAUGAUUGUGAAAUUUGUACAAAAAAAAAACAUGGGGAAAUUACAUGUUUACCACUUUCAUGCUAACACUUUUCAUUUAUACCACCACUAAAAAGACAUUUUCAAAAAUAUUUUCUUCAUUAAGUGGCAAAUGACUCUUAUGCCUAUGUUCUUUAUAUAUAUAAUAAAUAAAUAUUUAAAUAAAUAAAAAUCUAAAAAAAUAUAUUUUUUAAUUUUUUUCUGAAUUAUACUAUUUCGAAAUUCAAACUCUAAACCCUAAAACUCAACUCUAAACCCUAAACCAUCAAUCCUAAACCCUAUUUUUUUGAAAUAUGAACCCUAAACCCUAAACCAUCAAUCCUAAACCCUAUUUUUUUUUGAAAUAAACCUUAAGCCCUGAAACAUCAACUCUAAUCUCUAAACCCCGAAACAUCAACUCUAAACCCUAAACCCUAAACCUUCAACUCUAAACCCUAAAACAUCAACUCUAAACCCUAAACCCUAAACCUUCAACUCUAAACCCUAAAACAUCAACUCUAAACCCUAAAAAGUAAACUCUAAACCCUAAACCCUAAAAAUUAACCCUAAACCCUAAAACAUCAACUCUAAACCCUAAACCCUAAACCCUAAACCUUCAACUCUAAACCCUAAACCCUAAAUCCUAAAUCCUAAACCCAAAAACCCUAGAGUUGAUGUUUUACGGUUUAGAUUUGAAGAUUUAGGGUUUAGGGUUUAGAGUUGAUGUUUUAGGGUUUAGAUUUGAUGGUUUAGGGUUUAGGGUUUAGG